AAAAUCAACAAAGGAUUCCAACUAAAGAGCGCAUGAGACAUAUUAUUCAUUACCGGCAGACCGUGAAUAAUAUACUCGAAAGGAAGAUUAUCCUGAACCGGUUACUAGGUUGUUUAUAGGAUAAAAUCCGAAAAGAAAGGCAUCGGGAUACCAGAAUAGGUAUAUAAUGAUGACCAAUCAAAAAGGAGCAACAGACAUUAC
rnacentral:lncRNA from 1 species